CCUAGAAUUCCGUAGAGAAGUAUUUGAGAAAUUGCUUCAAUCACACAAAUAAGUGUAAUUUUAUUGUUUCUAAGAUUAGAAUAAUUUUAUUAUUGAGCAGUGUUAAAUUUGUGGGGCAAGAGUUAUGGCAGAAAGAAGAUAAUGGAGUGACUGGGAUUCUCCUUGUUCAGGAUUCUGCAGAGGCUAGUAUUGCGGAUCAUGCUUUGUCUCCAGGUACGGGAACUGAUUCUAUAGAGUGUACCUUGAAAAAUGAAGCUAGCAUAUCAGAUUUUAACAAACAUGAUGAAAAAAGUCUGCAGCAAGUUCACUGGCAUAAGUGGGGAGUUGCUGCUCAAGCUCUAUAUCUCUCAAGAGGAGUAGAGAGACCAAGUGGGAGAGUGACUUACACAGUUUUGCUAUAAGGACUUUGUAAAUUCCGUGUACAUGAGAUGAGUACCAGAGGGACUUAUUGCACAACACAAAUUACUUCUCUUGAGUUGACUAAAGCUGAGAUGGAGCAAGUUGAGCAAGACCAGGAAUUCAUUGUCUUGUCAUGUCAAUUCAAAGCUACUGCAAUGGAGCUUUUCUCUAUUCUUGAGCAGAGAUGAAGCAGCUUGUGGAUGUCAAAUGCAGCUCUUUUUAUGUUCAAAUGCAAUUGAUGAAAAGCAGUUGUGGAUAUUAAAUGUUUUUUUAAAAAAAUUUUAUUAGGUAUUUUAGUGGUCGGACAAAAACUUUUUAAAAAAAAUUGUGGCAUUUUCCGACCACCAGUGGUCGGAAAUUACGCAACUCAGAACUUUCUCUCCCUGACCAAAAUUUUCGACCACAUUGUAAUUGUGGACGCUACUUCCGACCACCACAUGAGGUGGUCGGAAUUAGCGACAAAGGUUUUUCCAAAUACCCAUGAGGUGGUCGGAAUUAGCGACAAAGGUUUUUCCAAAUACCCAAAAUGAUCGGAAAGGUGGUCGGAACAGGAGUUUUCGACCGAUAAUCGUCGAUUUCUGACCUUAGGGUUGAGGUUCAACCUUUUGGAAGAAUGUAUUAUAUACACAAUUUAACAUUCAAUUCA